rnacentral:rRNA from 1 species
UAGAGUUUGAUCCUGGCUCAAGAUGAACGCUAGCGGCAGGCCUAACACAUGCAAGUCGAGGGGUAAAAAUAGCUUGCUAUUUUGAGACCGGCGCACGGGUGCGUAACGCGUAUGCAAUCUGCCUUGUACUGAGGGAUAGCCCGGAGAAAUCCGGAUUAAUACCUCAUAGUAUAUCUGAGUGGCAUCAUUUAGAUAUUAAAGUUUUAACGGUACAAGAUGAGCAUGCGUCCCAUUAGUUAGUUGGUGUGGUAACGGCACACCAAGACGAUGAUGGGUAGGGGUCCUGAGAGGGAGAUCCCCCACACUGGUACUGAGACACGGACCAGACUCCUACGGGAGGCAGCAGUGAGGAAUAUUGGUCAAUGGAGGCAACUCUGAACCAGCCAUGCCGCGUGCAGGAAGACGGUUCUAUGGAUUGUAAACUGCUUUUGUACAGGAAGAAAUUAUCCCUCGUGAGGGAGCUUGACAGUACUGUAAGAAUAAGGAUCGGCUAACUCCGUGCCAGCAGCCGCGGUAAUACGGAGGAUCCAAGCGUUAUCCGGAAUCAUUGGGUUUAAAGGGUCCGUAGGCGGAUUAGUAAGUCAGGGGUGAAAGUUUGCGGCUUAACCGUAAAAUUGCCUUUGAUACUGCUAGUCUUGAAUAAUUAUGAAGUAGCUAGAAUAUGUAGUGUAGCGGUGAAAUGCUUAGAUAUUACAUGGAAUACCGAUUGCGAAGGCAGGUUACUAAUAAUUUAUUGACGCUGAUGGACGAAGGCGUGGGGAGCGAACAGGAUUAGAUACCCUGGUAGUCCACGCUGUAAACGAUGGAUACUAGCUGUUUGACCGCAAGGUUGAGUGGCUAAGCGAAAAUGAUAAGUAUCCCACCCUGGGGAGUACGUUCGCAAGAAUGAAACUCAAAGGAAUUGACGGGGGCCCGCACAAGCAGCGGAGCAUGUGGUUUAAUUCGAAGCAACGCGAAGAACCUUACCUAGACUUGACAUCUCCUGAAUUACUCUGUAAUGGAGGAAGCCGCUUCGGCGGCAGGAAGACAGGUGGUGCAUGGUUGUCGUCAGCUCGUGUCGUGAGAUGUUGGGUUAAGUCCCGCAACGAGCGCAACCCUUAUUGUUAGUUGCUACCAUUUAGUUGAGCACUCUAGCGAGACUGCCCGGGUUAACCGGGAGGAAGGUGGGGAUGACGUCAAAUCAUCAUGCCCCUUAUGUCUAGGGCUACACACGUGCUACAAUGGUCGGUACAAUGAGAUGCAACCUCGUGAGAGUGAGCAAAACUAUAAAACCGAUCUCAGUCCGGAUUGUAGGCUGAAACUCGCCUACAUGAAGCUGGAGUUGCUAGUAAUCGCGAAUCAGAAUGUCGCGGUGAAUACGUUCCCGGGCCUUGUACACACCGCCCGUCAAG